UCAAAGUUGGCAGAAUUAUGCAAUAGAUUUAAGCCCUAUCAAUGUGGUCUAACCUCACUCAAAU
rnacentral:tRNA from 1 species